rnacentral:misc_RNA from 1 species
GAUGAAGAACGUAGCGAAAUGCGAUAAGUAGUGUGAAUUGCAGAAUUCAGUGAAUCAUCGAAUCUUUGAACGCACAUUGCGCCCCUCGGUAUUCCGUGGGGCAUGCCUGUUCGAGCGUCAUUUAACCCCUCAAGCCUAGCUUGGUAUUGGGUGCUUGUCCCGCCUCUCGCGCGGCGACUCACCUCAAAGUCAUUGGCAGCCCGCAUCUCGCCGGCCGUGAGCGCAGCACAGACGCGCUCUUGGCAAAGACGGAUCGGCUCUCCAAAAGCUUAUUUCAACCACUGACCUCGGAUCAGGUAGGGAUACCCGCUGAACUUAAGCAUAUCAAUAAGCGGAGGA